CUCCUCGUCCAGGUCCAGCUCGUGACGAGUUUACCCCCCUGUUCAGACUUCCGCUUGACGCCUUCCAAGUCUUCCCUUCCUUCCCUUCCAGUACCUUCUCCCCUCCCUCCCCGCUAAGCAACCCCCAAAGGCCAAAGCUCGCUCUCGCGAUCGGAGAUCCCGCGAUGCAGGCCCCAGCGACCCCCUCCUCCGUCGACCUGCCGCUGGCGGCGGCGCCGCCGCCGGUGAAGGCGCCGACCCCGCGCCCGCCCCCGCCGGCCUCGCUCCAGCCCGAGUCCCCGGGGGUCUUCUUCUCCGCCGCGGCGGCCGCGCUGCCCUUGGGCUCCGCCCACCGCCGCAUCGCCAUCGCCGUCGACCUCUCCGACGAGUCCGCCUACGCCAUACGCUGGGCCGUCGCCAACUACCUCCGCCCCGGGGACGCCGUCGUCCUGCUCCACGUGCGCCCCACCUCCGUGCUCUACGGCGCCGACUGGGGCGCCGUCGACGUCUCCCUCCCCAACCCUAGCGACGGCGGCGCGGAGGACGACGACGACGAGGCCGCCGCGCGCAGGAUGGAGGACGACUACGACGCCUUCACGGCCUCCAAGGCCGACGACCUCGCCAGGCCGCUCAAGGACGCGGGCAUCCCCUACAAGAUCCACAUCGUCAAGGACCACGACAUGAGGGAGCGCCUCUGCCUCGAGGUCGAGAGGCUCGGCCUCAGCGCGGUCAUCAUGGGGAGCAAGGGCUUCGGCGCUUCGCGGAGGACCAGCAAGGGGAGGCUCGGUAGCGUCAGCGACUACUGUGUCCACCACUGUGUCUGCCCCGUCGUGGUGGUGCGCUUCCCUGACGAAGGCUCCGCGGAGGAUGGGGAGGCUGGUGGCCUGUCGUCAGCGGUGGGUGCGGAGGAUGUGCUGCAUCCUGUGCCCGAGGAGGAUGCCGAGUACCAUGAUGCUACUGAGGAGCACAAGGGUAACUGAUUUAAUACUUGACCGUGUCGAUGAAUUGUGAAGUGAAGUGCACUUGGAUCCAGCAGGUAAAGGUUCUACUGUUGGCUGGGUGCUAGCUGGGAAGUGCAUGUGGUGUUGAACUUUCAUUGCCCAUGUCUAUGUCUAUCUGUGCUCUGGCGUUGUUUGUAUCUUCAGUUGCCUUCUUUCACGUAACUUGUUUGACUAUUUGACUGCCUGGUGAUUUUUUGUGGUUGAAAACCUUUGUACUUUCUUCACAUUUCACUUCCUGUUUCUGAUGAAAGUCAGAGCUUAACCAUUUCUAUAGAAUCAACUAGUCAUCACUGCACC